rnacentral:lncRNA from 1 species
UGCCGUUCUCUAGUGCUUCAUCAGACGUUGCAUGUGUGUCGUUCUCUAGCGGUUCAUAAGACGUUGCUGGUGUCGUUCUCUAGAGCUUCAAUAGAUGUUGCUGUGUGUCGGUGCCGUUCUCUAGGCUCAUCAGACAUUUCUUGUUUCUCUAGACGUUGCUGGUGCCUUCUCUAGACGUUGUGUGUCCGUUCUCUAGACGUUUGCUUGUUGUGUCGUUCUCUAGACGUUGCUGUGUGUCGGUGCCGUUCUCUAGAGCUUCAUCAGACGUUGUGUGUGUCGUUCUCUAGACGUUGUUGUGUGUCGUUCUCUAGAGGCUUCAUCAGACGUUGCUGUGUGUCGUUCUCUAACGUGUUGUUGUGUCUUCUCUAGCGUUUCAUCAGAGUGCUGUGGUCGUCUCUGCGUUUUUGUGUUUUCUCUAGAGCUUCAUCAGACGUUUGCUGGUGCGUUCUCUAACGUUGCUGUGUGUCGUUCUCUAGACGUUGCUUGUGUGUCGUUCUCUAGAGCUUCAUCAGACGUUGCUUGUGUGUCGUUCUCUAGACGUUUGCUGUGUGUCGUUCUCUAGCGUGCUGUGUGUCGUUCUCUAGAGGCUUCAUCAGACGUUGCUGUGGUGUCGUUCUCUAGCCGUUGCUGUGUGUGUCGUUCUCUAGAGUGUUGUGUGUCGUUCUCUAGACGUUGCUGUGUGUCGUUCUCUAGACGUUGCUGUGUGUCGUUCUCUAGACGUUGCUGUGUGUCGUUCUCUAGAGCUUCAUCAGACGUUGCUGUGUCGUUCUCUAGACGUUGCUUGUGUCGUUUCUCUAGCGUUGCUGUGUGCCGUUCUCUAGACGUUGCUGUGUGCCGUUUCUCUAGACGUUGCUGUGGUGUCGUCUCUAGACGUGCUGUGUGCCUUCUCUAGACGUUGCUGUGUGUCGUUCUCUAGACGUUGCUGUGUGUCGUUCUCUAGACGUUGCUGUGUGUUCGUUCUCUAGCGGACGUUGCUGUGUGUCGUUCUCUAGACGGCGUUUUUGUUGUUUUGUGUCGUUCUCUAUAAGACGUUGCUGUGGUCUUGGCCUGUGCACUUGAGCCAACAGCUGGCACAUAACAGUGUGGGGUUAGCCUACAUGAUGGAUUAUUAUGGAUAAGGGCUAGAUUUAUUUUGGGGGGGGACGGGGGGGGGGUCAAAUGACCCUGGAUAUUUAUUGUGAAGGAGCAUCAAGUAGGCAAGUUCAUCAAGUUCAUCUUUCACCUCCCUGUUCAUCACUUAUUACAUCUGUGCUUAAACUGUGAAUCACAUCGUCGCAUGACUCCAAGUUUACUUCCAUAUGAUGUGUUGGAUGGAAACCUGCUUAAUGACAUCUAUUUCUCACUCAUUUAGAGUUUAAAAAUGCUCUCAAACACAACAGAAUCUGUAUUAUUUGUAUGUUUUAUUUAAUUACGAAAGUCAGUUGAGAACAAAUUCUUAUUUACAUGACGGCCUAGGAACAGUGGGUUAACUGCCUUGUUCAGGGGCCGAAACUACAGGUUUUACCUUGUCAGCUCGGGGAUUCGAUUUAGCAACCUUUCGGUUACUGUCCCAAUGCUCUAACCACCAGGCUACCUGCUCUAACCACUAGGCUACCUGCUCUACCACUAGCUACCUGCUCUAACCACUAGGCUACCUGCUCUACCACUAGGCUACCUGCCUAACCACUGCUCUGCUCUAACCACUAGGCUACCUGCUCUAACCACUAGCGCUACAUAGCCUGCUCUAACCACUAGGCUACCUCUACCAGGCUACCUGCUCUAACCACCUAGGCUACCUGCUCUAACCACUAGGCUACCUGCUCUAACCACUAGGGCUACCUGCUCUACCCACUAGGCUACCUGCUCUAACCACUAGGCUCCUGCUCUAACCACUAGGCUCCCUGCUCUAACCACUAGGCUACCUCAAAUCAAAUCAAAUCAAAUUUUAUUUGUCACAUACACCAUGGUUAGCAGAUGUUAAUGCGAGUGUAGCGAAAGCUUGUGCUUCUAGUU